UGAAUAAAUGAAAGUAUAGGUAUUUUAUUUAAAAGGGAAAUCGGUGAAAAUCCGAUGCAGCCCCCGCUACUGUAAGUGGGUACGAAAUCAAUAUAGUCCACUGGAUUUUUUCUGGGAAGGCAUUGAAAGUAGGAUGAUCCACAAGCCAGGAGACCUGCCUAUGGCUUUUUUGAGUA
rnacentral:ncRNA from 2 species